rnacentral:tRNA from 1 species
GCCGGAGUGGUGGAAUUGGCAGACACAAGGGACUUAAAAUCCCUCGGGGCUUAAACCCCGUGCCGGUUCAAGUCCGGCCUCCGGCA